AUUUGCAACCAUGGUACCUUGAGAUGUGAAUUACACAGUUCUGGUAAGCUGCAAUGAGCGGGGUUAGGUUUAAUCAGUACUUGGAUUGGAGACCCCCAAGGAAUACCUCAGUACUGCAGAUA
rnacentral:rRNA from 1 species